CAAGAUAUUGUUUUAUUUUAUUCUGUAUUAUUACUGCAAUAUCUGUUUCUCGCCACUAGUCACCUCAGUCGCUCUCACCUGCAUAGCAUUAUAAUCCAAAUCUGCUACAAAAGGCUACACCCAGCGCAUCACAUGGCCUUUACAUUGAGAGAAGUUGUGUUUUAAACCUGACAUGUCUUCUGCUCCUGGCUCCUUCUAAAGAAAACCUGCUCCACCCUUACCUUCAACCAUCCUAAUUUAUUCCAACAUGAUCUCCAAAAUGAGCCAACUUUAUCUCUGUACUGGACUUUGUUUUCAUAUUGAUUUGGUUCCAACCUACCUGGAUAUUAC